GAGGCAGACCACAGGCCUUCUUGAGGAGGAC
rnacentral:piRNA from 1 species